AACAAAUCUUACAGCAAUGGGAAAGAAUAAGAAGUCAACAGUAAAGAAUAAUGUCAAGCAGUUUCCAAUCAAGAAGGGACUGAAGAGUCAACAGUCCCAAC